UCCCAGCGCCACAAGUGGCAAUCACCUUUAUUGGGCCUAAAGCGUCCGUAGCAGGUUUUGUAAAUCUUUUGUGAAAGCGUUAUACUCAAUAUAACGAAUGGCAAGAGACACUGCAAAACUAGGAACCGGGAGGAGUCAGGGGUAUUCUUGGGGGAGCGGUAAAAUGUUAUAAUCCCAAGAGGACCACCCGUGGCGUAGGCGCCUGACUAGAACGGAUUCGACUGUGAGGGACGAAAGCUAGGGGAGCAAUCCGGAUUAGAUACCCGAGUAGUCCUAGCUGUAAACUCUGUGAGCUAGGUGUGUCGUUUUCUUCGUGAAUGCGACGUGUCGGAGUGAAGAUGUUAAGCUCGCCGCCUGGGAAGUACGGUCGCAAGACUGAAACUUAA
rnacentral:rRNA from 1 species